rnacentral:misc_RNA from 1 species
GGUGGACCUGCUUUUCAGGUUUGUUUCUACAUUUCUUUUCUUUAUUCUGAUUGUUUCACUGGUGACUUUUCGUGUAAACAUUUAUGUAUAUACUUGCAACAGCCUUCCUGGUGAAGGCACAAUAUUCUCUCAGGGUUAAGAGUUAACAGUUAAUGUCUUUCAAGUCAGGUUAUGCCUCAUAAACAUUGCUGUGAAUAUUAACCCAUGAAUGGUAAGAAUAAAGAAUUAGGCUUCACAGUUCACACCUAAAAUGAAAACUGAAUUGUGGAGCGUUACAAAUAUUUGUAGGGUCAAAGUAGCUUAAAACCGUCCUAAUCUCCUAAGGAUUUGGGACUCCUAAAGAAAACUAAAAGAAAUGAUAGCCCUAAACCAAAUGGACUAAAAUUAAGAAUUCAAAAUAAAAAUAAGUUCCUAAAAAGAACAAAACCAGAAGUACCAAAUUAGGUGUCUUCUAAAAAGAUUAAAUUUUGCAAGUUUCCUGCUUAAUUGGCAUCAAAACGAAAAGGCCUAAUUAAGUUCCUAACUAAGUUUCUCAUCAUUAGAUGCACGUUUUUGUUUGUACCUUGCAUAUAGGAAAACUAUAAAGGGCUGCAAAGAUGGAAUGUCAUGCCUGUCACUUGAUGAGAUGAACUAAAUAACCUCGACUUUGAGUUGGAGUCCACCAAAUCAAACAUUAUUUAUGGGGCUGUUUGAGAGUAAGACAAAUAUAUGAAUAUGCAGUACAUUGCCUGCUUUCUUAUUCCUUAUUUUAAAUUAUAUUAUGUCUCAUG